CUGCAUCCAUUGAUAGACCUUCAACAAUCUGACAUUACCCUUUUAGUUUGCACUAGGAUGUGAAAGAAAAAAAAUCACUGCACCUUGUCUUUGCAGCAACCCAGAUGGAAUAGGGGACUACACCU